AUUGAACGCUGGCGGCAUGCUUUACACAUGCAAGUCGAACGGCAGCGCGGGCUUCGGCCUGGCGGCGAGUGGCGAACGGGUGAGUAAUACAUCGGAACGUGCCCAGUAGUGGGGGAUAGCUCGGCGAAAGCCGGAUUAAUACCGCAUACGACCUGAGGGUGAAAGCGGGGGAUCUUCGGACCUCGCGCUAUUGGAGCGGCCGAUGGCAGAUUAGCUAGUUGGUGGGGUAAAGGCCUACCAAGGCGACGAUCUGUAGCUGGUCUGAGAGGACGACCAGCCACACUGGGACUGAGACACGGCCCAGACUCAUACGGGAGGCAGCAGUGGGGAAUUUUGGACAAUGGGCGAAAGCCUGAUCCAGCAAUGCCGCGUGUGUGAUGAAGGCCUUCGGGUUGUAAAGCACUUUUGGCGGGAACGAAAAGGACUGUACCAAUACCACGGUUCGAUGACGGUACCCGCAGAAUAAGCACCGGCUAACUACGUG
rnacentral:rRNA from 1 species